GCGUUGCUAUCGGACGGCAAUGGAGAACUACAGGAUAAAACAGCGACUAGGAAAAGGUGCACAGGGAGCGGUAUUUCUUGUUAAUAACAGGAACGACGGACUUCAAUAUGUUUUGAAAAAGGUUGAAUGCAAUGAUGAAGGGGAA